rnacentral:rRNA from 1 species
AGACGUCUACAUUAGAUACCCCGGUAGUCCCAGCCGUAAACUAUGCGCGUUAGGUGUAUCGGUGACCACGAGUUACCGAGGUGCCGAAGGAAACCGUGAAACGUGCCGCCUGGGAAGUACGGUCGCAAGGACUGAAACUUAAAGGAAUUGGCGGGGAGCACCACAACGGGUGGAGCCUGCGGUUUAAUUGGACUCAACGCCGGGAAGCUCACCGGAUAAGACAGCGGAAUGAUUGUCGGGCUGAAGACUCUGCAUGACUAGCUG